AUCCCGCCCACUAGAUAUAUGUCACACUGGCAGCGUCGCCUUUCUAUUUGUAGUCUUAGUGGCCUCCAUCAUACUUAAUGGAAGAAGUUUAUUAUUAUUAUAUGUAGUCUGAAUCCGUGGAGCUGCAGGGAUUUGUAGUCUUUGUGGCCUCCAUCAUACUUAAUGGAAGAAGUUUAUUAUUAUUAUUAUUAUUUGUAGUCUUGCAUUUUGUCUACUUUGAUGCUAAAUAGCAUGAUCGGAUCCGUGAAUAAAGGAUCCCCAUUAGUUCCUGCCAAGGCAGCAGCUACUUCCUGGGGUACAGCAAAAUAAAGGCAGUUAUACAAUAUUAAAAACAUUACAAUACAUUCACAACACACGGUGUGGAAUCAGUCACCUUGUCCUAGAGAGAUUCACAUGGUUAUCAAAACGUCACACCAGGGUAAGCCUAAACAAACACAGCCCUAUGGAAAAAUGAAUGGUGGAAAAACGAUUGGCGCCAUUUCCCUGUUUGACCUCUAGUUGUUAUGGAUAUUAUGACUCUACAGCGCCCCAAAGUGGACGUGUCAAAAUAUGUUACAUUGAUAAAGCACACUUUAUUUAACCUCAAUGUCAUUCUCUCAUGCUCCUUCAGUCUCCCUAACUGGGUACAACUCUUUCCACAAUGGGAUCAUUAGAAAGGCUUUUCUCCUGUGCGUGUCCUCUCAUGCCUUUCCACGCUCCCAACCCACCUAAACCUCUUUCCACACAAGGAGCAGUGGUAAGGAUUCUCUUCUGUGUGUAUUCUCUUAUGUGUUUUCAGGCUCCCUAACUGAGAUUAAUCUAGACUAGAUCCCUCAAUCACUUGAACACCACAAGGAGGCGCUAGAGCCCGAUGGGACAAGGACGUCCCAGCCGGGCAAACCCUCCCCUAAUUUGGACGACACUGGGCCAAUUGAGAUACAGCCUGGAUUAGAACCAGGGAUUGUAGGGACUCCUCUUGCACGGAGAUGCAGUGCCUUAGAAUGCUGGCCCACUUGGGAGGCCCUGCUUAAAUAUUUAUAUCCCGGAGUCUGACAUCGUUCUGAUAUUUCUUCAUUUCUUUCUUGUUAUUUUGGGGAUUUGUGUGUGUAUUGAUUUGUAUUGGUAGGUAUUACUGCACUGUUGGAGCUAUAAGCAUCAGCAUUUCGCUGCACCUCUGAUAACAUCCGUAAAAUAUGUGUAAGCAACCAAAAACAUUUGAUGACAAGUCUGAUUUAUUUGGAAAGUUUUUAGGCUGUAGAGACCACUAUAAUAAAAUAUAUUGUGGACUACAGUAUUUAACUAAAAUAAUAUAUUGGAUGCAUGAUUAAUGUGUUUUGUUGGUGGCCCGCUCUUUGAUGGUAUCUACUAGAUUAUACGUCACACUAGCCGCGUCGCCUGAAAGACGCACAUCGCCAUCUGCAGACACGCCUGCUGACGCAGUGGAGGGAAAAGUUAUGUUUUUUUAUUUUUUAUUAUUAAAUAAUAAUAUUACAUUGAGACAUCCCGAAAUGGGAUGAACUACCUGAAAUUGUCCAAUAACAAUCAGAUUUGUGUUUUGUUGCAAAAUGUUUGUGUGCCCUAAAUCCCAUCUUGGAUUAAUGAUUCACAGAGACUUCUCAUUCCUAACUCACAAUAUUGAACUAACUUGUUAUAGUAUUUAGUAAUUGUUAUGGAUUACUGGGUCGAUCUUCUAGAGUACAGAUGUUACCAUUUUUACAGAUGCACGUGUUGAUUAGUGCAGAUUUUAAUCAGUGAGAAUCAAAUUUGACAUCUGACAUCUACAUCCACUUGACAUUGCAUUUUUAAGAAUGUUUCUGAUUAAUUCAGUCAAACUAACAGAAAAUAAUAAAUAAGCAGCGACGUCACAAUACAUCAUGUAGAUGUAUAUAAAGAACAGACUAGGUCUAUACUGCUCCUACAUGGUGUAACAAUACAUCAUGUAGAUGUAUAUAAUGAACAGACUAGGUCUAUACUGCUCCUACAUGGUGUAAUAAUACAUCAUGUAGAUGUAUAUAAUGAACAGACUAGGUCUAUACUGCUCCUACAUGGUGUAAUAAUACAUCAUGUAGAUGUAUAUAAUGAACAGACUAGGUCUAUACUGCUCCUACAUGGUGUAACAAUACAUAAUGUGCGGCUUUAAGGCAAUGCUGUUAGUGUGAGGUAUAAUCUAGUGGAUGGAACGUUUCUUUCAACAGCAGCAACAGUUAGUCAGACACCUCGGUAGCUUGCUAAACAAAAUAGCCGAACCAAUAAAGCUCUUUAGACGCGUUCGUGUAUAUUAGCCACUGUGUUUUAAACCCCCUUAUGUCGUCUAGUUAGUUAUCCGAUUUAAUUUAAUAUUUUCCGUGUUGUUGUCAUUAGUCAGCUAGCGGGCUAGUUAAGUUAGCAUUAGCCUAGCUAGCUAACAUCCCAGACCAUGAGCUCACUAAGCUACUCUCGUCCUGCUAAAGAAGAGUAGGUCUGCUGGACGGAGGAAGAUGGUCUGUGGGUGAACAUUGUCGUGAAAGAGGAAGAGGCUGUCUUAAUACAAAACAAGUAGAGGGUGAGGGUGUUACAGUGAAAGAAGAGGAGGAUGUUACAGUAAAAGGAGAGGAGGAUGCAGUUUAUGGAGUGAAAGAGGAGGAGGGGGAGAUGACUGUUACAUUGAAAAAGGAGGAGGAAGAAGAGGAGGAAACUGGAUAUCUGGGCCCGGUUUCCCAAACGCAUCCGAUGGUUCUAACGGACCUGAACUCUAGGACCAUGCCUCAGGACUACCUGACAUGAUGACUUCUUGCUGUCCCCAGUCCACCUGGCCGUGCUGCUGCUCCAGUUUCAACUGUUUUGCCUGUGAUUAUUAUUAUUUGACCAUGCUGCCUUCCUCUCCUCUCCUCUGAAGACCCAGUGAGGGAGGAGCUCAGUCAGAGAGCUGUUGAGGGACUGAUUAGGAAGAACACUAACAGCCAGAGAGGAACAGUCAAGAAAUGGAACGGCAAGGCCACAGAUCAUGACAUAAGCAGAGCUGUGGGAGAUCACCUCAAGCCCCUGGUGGAGCCGAGGGUGGUGUUUACCACUCCUUCAACAGGCUUGAAAAGUGGGAUUGAUCGAUUUGAUCCAUUUGUUUGUUUCUGUUUUUGAGUAGUUGAAUCCUUUGACAUGGGAUUGAUACUGAUUUUCAUACUAAAGAGGGACCAAGACUCUUUCGAUUGGUCGGUCAUUGGGUUCAUAUAUAGAUCUCCCUCACUAACUUUAAGCAUCAGCUGUCAGAGCAGCUUAACGAUCAUUGCGCCUGUACACAGCCCAUCUGUAAAUAGCCACACCCAACUACGUCAUCCCCGUAUUAUUUAUUUUUGCUCCUUUGAAUCCCAGUAUCUCUACUUGCACAUCUAUCACUCCAGUGUUUAAUUGCUAAAUUGUAAUUAUUUUGCCACUAUGGCCUUACCUCCUUAUUCCAUUUGCACACACUGUAUAUAGAUUUUUCUGUUGUGUACUUUUGUUUAUCCCACGUGUAACUAUGUGUUUUUGUCACACCGCUUUGCUUUUUCUUGGCCAGGUCACAGUUGUAAAUUAGAACUUUAUCUCAACUGGCCUACUUGGUUAUAUAAAGGUGAAAUAAAAAUAACAUUUUGUUGUUGAAAUCAAA